rnacentral:rRNA from 1 species
AGAGCGAACGCUGGCGGCAGGCUUAACACAUGCAAGUCGAGCGCUCGUAGCAAUACGAGAGCGGCAGACGGGAGAGUAACACGUGGGAACGUACCCUUCGGUUCGGAACAACCCAGGGAAACUUGGGCUAAAUACCGGAUACGUCCGUAAGGAGAAAGAUUUAUCGCCGAAGGAUCGGCCCGCGUCUGAUUAGCUAGUUGGUGAGGUAACGGCUCACCAAGGCGACGAUCAGUAGCUGGUCUGAGAGGAUGAUCAGCCUCACUGGGACUGAGACACGGCCCAGACUCCUACGGGAGGCAGCAGUGGGGAAUAUUGGACAAUGGGCGCAAGCCUGAUCCAGCCAUGCCGCGUGGGUGAUGAAGGCCCUAGGGGUUGUAAAGCCCUUUCGGCGGGGAAGAUAAUGACGGUACCGCAGAAGAAGCCCGGCUAACUUCGUGCCAGCAGCCGC